rnacentral:sRNA from 1 species
AUUGAGUAAAUUGUGUUGACCUGUUCUUAAGCUCACUGAUUCUGUCCUCUGUUGUCUCCACUCUUACUGAUUUCAUCUGUGGGACUUCUCCUCUUGCAUGCCUGAAUGCGAUGCUUCACACAAACUCCAGAGGUGAAGAGGGCAUCUUCUAUAAGGUUCCAGGUAGAAUGGGAGUAUAUACUUUGAAGAAAGAUGUGCCGGAUGGGGUGAAAGAGCUGUCAGAAGGUUCAGAAGAAAGCAGUGAUGGUCAGUCAGAUUCCCAGAGUUCUGAGAACAGCAGCAGCAGCAGUGAUGGUGGCAGCAACAAGGAGGGAAAAAAGAGCAGGUGGAAAAGGAAAGUAUCGUCGUCCUCUCCGCAGUCAGGCUGCCCGUCACCCACCAUUUCAGCAGGUAAAGUCAUUUCUCCAUCACAGAAGCACAGCAAGAAGGCACUAAAGCAGGCGCUAAAGCAGCAACAGCAGAAGAAGCAGCAGCAGCAAUGCAGGCCAAGCAUAUCCAUCUCCUCCAACCAGCAUCUCUCUCUAAAGACUGUCAAAGCAGCCAGUGA